UGAUAGAUAUUGGGGUAUCACAUAUCGAUUGCAAUCUAGUGAGGGCAUUUAUAGGGAAAUGGUGCAAGGACACGAAUACUACAUUUCUAAGUAUUGGUGAAAUGGCUCCAACACUAUACGAUGUGUGGCAGAUAUCAAGGAUACCCGUGACAGGUGAGCAUGUAAUCGGCAUCAAGCCUGAAGACUAUGUUGCGUUCAUCUGGGAAUAUCUGGGAGAUUGCCCUAAAGACGUCACCCCAAUGCGUCUCAAUCAUACAUGGUUGAGGAGUGGAUUCGCCCAACUACCAAAAAAGCCGACCAAAUUACAACUCAUGCAACACACACAAGCAUAUCUCAUUUAUUUAGUCGGCACAACUAUAUUUGCCAACUCAUCUAAAGGACUGAUGCUUUCAAUAUACUUGUAAUUGUUUCGAGAUUUUGAUGAGGCAGAGAAGUAUGCAUGGGAUGUUGCGGCGCUUGCUUUUUUGUAUCGUUUGUUGUAUAAGGUCGCACGGUAGGGAAAAUAUCAUUUUAGUGGGUCAGCGACCUUACUACAGUGUUGGUUCUAUGAGCAUUUUCGAGCUCUAGCCACCAAGCCUACAUUGGUCAUAAGCCCAGGAAUGCCUAAGGCUUGCAUGUGGAAGAAAUAAGCACACCACAAAAACAUCUCAUUUGAUAACAUCUCGUUUGAUAUGGUAACCUGUCAACCAUAUGAGGAGUCACAUGAAAUUACAGGGUACUUCAUCUAUCGAUCAUACCUUAUCAGUUUCUACAUUGCAGAGUACUAUAUGCCAGAUUGCGUGUUGCGACAAUUUGAGAAGUUGCAAGGUAUUCCUAUUAUGCCACCCAAGUGGGAUAGGAAAGAGAAGGUUGGUUUACACCCCCACAAAUUGGGUUGUAGAAUUGGGUAGGCAGAUAAAAGAUUGGAAAGCACGAGAACGUAAUGUUGUUAAAGCAACCGUAGAUAAAUCUGGUGGAGUACCUACAGCAGAGUACAUGGCCUGGUACAACAUGUUUACGCAAGGAAGAAAAACCCCAUUUCGCCCCUCGUCGUAGUCGCAAUCUCAUGUACAACCCUCAGCAGGCCAAUCCCAGAAUAAUAGAUUGAGACAGGUGCCGAGGAGACAGUGCUGACUAUAGGUGGAGAAGUGCAAAGUGAAAGUGAAAGAGAAGAAGAGGGUGAUGAUGGAGAAGAAGACGAUGAUGACGGAGAAGAAGAUGAUGACAAAGAAGAGGAUGAUGAUGGAGAACAGGAUGAUGAUGGAGAAGAGGAUAUUGAAGGCAAUGAUGAUAGUGAUAGUGAGCAUAAAAAUGAGAGAAGAACAAAGAAAAAAGCUUAUCACUUUCAAGCACCGACGUUGCAAGAGGAAUCGAGGGGGAAUUUGCGGUCACAAAGAGAUGGGAAUGCCGACAAGGGACCUGAUGUGAGGUUAAAGAGUCUUCUUAGUUGGCCAAUAAAAGCAUUGAGGCGGAGAAAAUGACCUCUUUUUUAUUUUUUGGAUAUGUAUAUUUGAAACAAAUAUUAUAUCUGCUUUUUCAAUUAUGAGAAAGUCAUCAUGUUGGAG